AGCGAACGCUGGCGGCAUGCUUAAUACAUGCAAGUCGCACGGGCAGGGGCAACUCUGUCAGUGGCGGACGGGUGAGUAACGCGUAGGUAUCUAUCCUGAGGUGGGGGACAACCGUGGGAAACUACGGCUAAUACCGCAUGAUGCCCGAGGGCCAAAGGCGCAAGUCGCCUUGGGAGGAGCCUGCGUCCGAUUAGCUUGUUGGUGGGGUAACGGCCUACCAAGGCUCCGAUCGGUAGCUGGUCUGAGAGGAUGAUCAGCCACACUGGGACUGAGACACGGCCCAGACUCCUACGGGAGGCAGCAGUAGGGAAUAUUGGACAAUGGGCGAAAGCCUGAUCCAGCAAUGCCGCGUGGGUGAAGAAGGUCUUCGGAUUGUAAAGCCCUUUCGGCGGGGACGAUGAUGACGGUACCCGCAGAAGAAGCCCCGGCUAACUUCGUGCCAGCAGCCGCGGUAAUACGAAGGGGGCUAGCGUUGCUCGGAUUGACUGGGCGUAAAGGGCGCGUAGGCGGCUUGUACAGUCAGACGUGAAAUUCCUGGGCUUAACCUGGGGGCUGCGUUUGAUACGUAUGGGCUGGAGUGCGGAAGAGGGUCGUGGAAUUCCCAGUGUAGAGGUGAAAUUCGUAGAUAUUGGGAAGAACACCGGUGGCGAAGGCGGCGACCUGGUCCGAUACUGACGCUGAGGCGCGAAAGCGUGG
rnacentral:rRNA from 1 species